AAUUGUAUUCAUUAUUAUAGUAAUUAGAAGAAUCACUCAUAGGGAAAGAUUAGGGCCUUAAGGACUAUAAGAUGAUAUGGGAAAAAAAAGAAAAAGGGUGAGGGGGAAUUGAUAAUGGUACCAAGAGAUACUUGAGGAAAUAGAAAUAAAAUAAAUAGAAUAAUCUUUUUCACACAAAGAUACACAUGGGAAGGGGAGGGGAAGAAUACUCUCAUAAGAAGGAGAGGAGGAGAGUGCUAAUAGGUAAUACUUAAACCUUACUCUCAGUGAAAUCAACUCUGAGAGGGAAGAGCAUCUAGAUCCAUUGGGAUCUUGAAUUCUAUCUUAUCCAACAGGGUAAUGGAGAAGGUAAAACUAAGGGAGGGGUAGGGGGAAGGAGUACAAAAAUGGAGGGAAGGAGAGGGGGGAGGGAACUUAACAGACUAAAAAAAAAAGAAGGGAACAAAAAGGGAGGGACUGGAAAGGGAAGCAUAUCAAGGGAGGGGAUUAGGGGGAUUAAUUAAAAGUAAACGACUGUUUUAAAAGGAUAUAGCAAAAGAAGAAAGGACAGAACUAGGAGAGGAUAUCAAAAUGCUAGGGAAUACACAAGUGACAAUCAUAACUUUAAAUGUGAAUGGGAUGAAUUCAACCAUAAAACGUAUUUGAAUAUGAGAGUGGAUUAGAAUCCAAAAUCCUACCCAUAUGUUGUCUACAAGAAACACACCCGAGGCGGGUAGAUAUUCACAAGGUCAGAAUUAAAGGUUUGAGCAAGACCUAUUGGGCCUCAACUGAUAGAAAGAAGGCAGGAGUUGCAAUCAUGAUAUCUGACAAAGCCAAAGUAAAAAUAGACCUGAUUACAUCCUGAUAAAAGGGAAUAUAGACAAUGAGGAAAUAUCACUAAUCAACAUGUAUGCAAAAAAUGAUAUAGCACCCAAAUUUCUAGUGGAGAAACUAGGAGAAUUGAAGGAGGAAAUAGAUAGUAAAACUAUACUAAUGGGAGACCUGAACCUACCACUAUCAAAUUUAGAUGGAUCAAAUCAAAAAAUAAAUAAGAAAGAGGUAAAAGAGGUGAACGACAUCUUAGAAAAAUUAGAGUUAAUAGAUAUAUGGAGAAAAAUAAAUAGGGACAAAAAGGAAUACACCUUCUUUUCAGCAUCACAUGGUACAUUCACAAAGACUGACCAUAUAUUAGGUUAUAAAAACAUAGCAUACAAAUGCAGAAAAGCAGAAAAAAUAAAUGCAACAUUUUCAGAUCAUACGGCAAUAAAAAUAAUGAUCAAUAAGGAUACAUGGAGAGCCAAAUCAAAAAUUAAUUGGAAAUUAAAUAAUAUGAUUCUCCAAAAUUGGUUAGAGAACAAAUCAUAGAAACAAUAAUUUCAUUGAAGAAAAUGACAAUGAUGAGACAUCCUUUCAAACCUUACAGGAUGCAGCCAAAGCAGUACUCAGGGGAAAAUUUAUAUCCUUGAGUUCAUAUAUUAACGAAUUAGGGAGGGCAGAGAUGGAUGAAUUGGACAUGCAAAUAAAAAACUUGAAAGCGAACAAAUUAAAAACCCCAGAAGAAAACCAAAUUAGAGAUCCUAAAAAUUAAGGGAGAAAUUAAUAAAAAUCAAAAGUGAAAGAACUAUUAAACCAACAAAUAAGACUAGAAGCUUGUAUUUUGAAAAAAACAAAAAACAAAAUGGACAAAGUACUGGUCAAUUUAAUUAAAAAAAGGAAAGAAGAAAAGCAAAUUAACAGUAUCAUAGAUGAAAAGGGGGACCUCACCUCCAACGAGGAGGAAAUUAAGGCCAUCAUUAAAAACUAUUUUGCCCAAUUAUAUGGCAAUAAAUAUGCCAAUCUAGGUGAUAUGGAUGAAUAUUUACAAAAAUAUAAAUUGCCUAGAUUAACAGAAGAAGAAAUCGAUUCUUAAAAUAAUCCCAUAUCAGAAAAAGAAAUUGAACAGGCCAUCAGAAAACUCCCUAAGAAAAAAUCUCCAGGGCCUGAUGGAUUCACAAGUGAAUUCUAUCAAAUAUUCAAGGAACAGCUAAUCCCAAUACUAUACAAACUAUUUGACAUAAUAAGCAAAGAGGAAGUUCUACCAAAUUCCUUUUAUGACACAAAUAUGGUACUGAUUCCAAAGCCAGGCAGGUCAAAAAUGGAGAAAGAAAACUAUAGACCAAUUUCCCUAAUGAACAUAGAUGCAAAAAUCUUAAAUAGGAUACUAGGAAAAAGACUCCAGCAAGUGAUCAGGAGAAUUAUUCACUAUGAUCAGGUAGGAUUUAUACCAGGAAUGCAAGGAUAGUUCAAUAUUAGGAAAACCAUCCACAUAAUUGACCAUAUCAACAAGCAAACCAAUAAAAAUCACAUGAUUAUCUCAAUAGAUGCAGGAAAAGCCUUUGACAAAAUACAACACCCAUUUCUAUUGAAAACACCAGAAAGCAUCGGAACAAAAGGGUCUUUCCUAAAAAUAAUAAUAGAGUUAAUAGAUAUAUGGAGAUAUAUGGUACAUUCUAUCUAAAACCAUCAGCCAACAUCAUCUGCAAUGGGGAUAAACUAGAUGCAUUCCCAAUAAGAUCAGGAGUGAAACAAGGAUGCCCAUUAUCACCUCUACUAUUUAACAUUGUACUAGAAACACUAGCAGUAGCAAUUAGAGAAGAAAAAGAAAUUGAAGGUAUUAAAAUUGGCAACGAGGAGACCAAGCUAUCACUCUUUGCGGAUGAUAUGGUCUACUUAAAGAAUCCUAGAGAAUCAACUAAAAAGCUAGUGGAAAUAAUCAACAAUUUUAUCAAAGUUUCAGGUUACAAAAUAAAUCCACAUAAGUCAUUAACAUUUAUAUCUCCAACACAUCUCAGCAACAGGAAUUAGAAAGAGAAAUUCCAUUCAAAAUCACCUUAGACAAUAUAAAAUACUUAGGAAUCUAUCUGCUGAGACAAACACAGGAACUAUAUGAACACAACUACAAAACACUUUCCACACAACUAAAACUAUAUCUGAGCAAUUGGAAAAACAUUAACUGCUCAUGGGUAGGACAAGCUAGCAUAAUAAAAAUGACCAUUGUACCCAAACUUAUCUAUUUAGUGUCAUACCCAUCAAACUUCCAAAAAACGUUUUUUCUGAAUUAGAAAAAACCAUAACAAAGUUCAUUUGGAAGAACAAAAGAUCAAGGAUACCUAGGGAAAUAAUGAAAAAAAAAUGCAAAGGAAGGUGUCCUUGCAGUCCCAGAUCUCAAACUAUACUUUAAAGCAGUGGUCAUCAAAACAAUAUGGUACUGGCUAAGAGACAGAAAGGAGGAUCAGUGGAAUAGACUUGGGGUAAAUGACCUCAGCAAGACAGUCUAUGACAAGCCCAAAGAUCCCAGCUUUGGGGACCAAAAUCCACUAUUUGAUAAAAUCUGCUGAGAAAAUUAGAAUACAGUGUGGGAGAGAUUAGGUUUGGAUCAACAUCUCACACCCUACACCAAGAUAAACUCAGAAUGGGUGAAUGACUUGAACAUAAAGAAGGAAACUAUAAGUAAAUUAGGUGAACACAGAAUAGUAUACAUGUCAGACCUUUGGGAAGGGAAAGAUUUUAAAACCAAGCAAGACUUAGAAAGCGCCACAAAAUGUAAAAUAAAUCAUUUUGACUACAUCAAAUUAAAAAGUUUUUAUACAAACAAAACCAAUGUAACCAAAAUUAGAAGGGAAAUAACAAACUGGGAAACAAUCUUAAUAACAAAAACCUCUGACAAAGGUCUAAUUACUCAAAUUUACAAAGAGCUAAAUCAAUUGUGCAAAAAAUCAAGCCAUUCUCCAAUUGACAAAUGGGCAAGGGACAUGAACAGGCAGUUCUCAGCCAAAGAAAUCAAAACUAUUAAUAAGCACCUGAAAAAGUGCUCUAAAUCUCUUAUAAUCAGAGAGAUGCAAAUCAAAACAACUCUGAGGUAUCACCUCACACCCAGCAGAUUGGCUAACAUGACAGCUGUGGAAAGUAAUGAAUGCUGGAGGGGAUGUGGCAAAGUAGGGACACUAAUUCACUGCUGGUGGAGUUGUGAAUUGAUCCAACCAUUCUGGAGGGCAAUUUGGAACUAUGCUUAAAGGGUGCUAAAAGACUGUCUGCCCUUUGAUCCAGCCAUAGCACUGCUGGGUUUGUACCCCAAAGAGAUAAUGGACAAAAAGACUUGUACAAGAAUAUUCAUAGCUGCACUCUUUGUGGUGGCCAAAAAUUGGAAAAGGAGGGGAUGCCCUUCAAUUGGGGAAUGGCUGAACAAAUUGUGGUAUAUGUUGGUGAUGGAAUACUAUUGUGCUAAAAGGAAUAAUAAAGUGGAGGAAUUCCAUGGAGACUGGAACAACCUCCAGGAAGUGAUGCAGAGUGAGAGGAGCAGAACCAGGAGAACAUUGUACACAGAGGCUGAUACACUGUGGUUCAAUCGAAAGUAAUAGAAUUCUCCAUUAGUGUCAAUGCAAUGAUCCUGAACAACCCAGAGUAAUCUAUGAGAAAAACCACUAUCCACAUUCAGAGGAAACACUGUGGGAGUAAAAUCACCAAAGAAAAACAACUGCUUGAUGACAUGGGUCAAGGGGAUAUGGUUGGAGAUGUAGACAAUGAUCAUCCUAGUGCAAAUACCAACAAUAUGGAAAUAGGUUCUGAUCAAGAACACAUGUGUUACCCAGUGGAACUGUGCAUUGGCUAUGGGAAGGGUGGGGGGAGGGGAGGGAAGAAUAGAAAAUGAUUUUUGUAACCAAGGAAUAAUGUUUGAAAUUGUCCAAAAAAAAUUUUUUUAAGGCAAAAAAAAAAACAAAAACCCAACAACAAUUCCCCAAUUAAAGGGAAAAAAAAUGUCAAAAGUUGCUCUAACAUCUUGUAUUCGACUGGAGGAAAAUAUAAAUUUUACUAAAAAUAAACCACUAACUUUGCCCUCAGGGAUUUUAUAUUUUAGUGGGGGGGGGGGGGUUAAGUAAGACUAGUUUUUCCUUAAAAGGUGUUUAAGCCAUUCUUGAGACUUGAAGGGCUUAGAAGACUUACAGCCUGUGUUCUUGCCAUCAUUUCUUGGUCAUCUGAGUACAAGAUGGGGUUCCAAGCAUAGCAGACCACUAUGGACAACUCAGAGGCAGGGGAGUAUUGCUCUGUUAGGUCAACUCGGGUUUUCCUCAUGCAUAUCUUGGUUACGCAGUCUUCUCCCAUGGUUAAGGAGAUUCCUUUUGUUAACCGUUGGAUAACUUACUGGUGUCUCAUUUCAUUGCUGUCUAACGAAUCCGCUUUCUUAGUAGGUGUAUUUCUUUUUUUUCCAUGCUUGCUUUUCUUGGUUUCAGUAUGACUUAAACUGUCAGAGAAAAGGGCCUGAAUUAGGUCCAGUCUAGAACCAUAUACACAGAUAUUACAUGAUUGCAUAUAUCCCAAGGAGGUCACUGAUAAGAAAGCCCUCAUCUACAUCAAAAUAUUUAUAGCAACACUAUUUGUGGUAGCAAAGACCCAAAAACAAAGUAAAUGCCCAUCGACUGGGGAAUAGCUAAACAAUUUGUGGUACAUGGUCAUAAUGGAAUAUUCCUGUGUUGUAAGAAAUGAUGAAUAUGAUGAAUCCGGAGGAGCAUUUAAAAAGCUAAGUGAACUGAUGAAGAAUAAAGUAAAUAGAGUCAAGAAAACAGUAUGUGAAAUGUCUAAGACAAUGGAAAUGGAAAGGCAACCACCACAAAACCAUCCAAACUGCAGAAUUACAAAGAACAAGUAUGAACCCAAAGAAGAGAUAAGACACUGACCCCAUCCCUUUACAGAAGUGGAGGAAGUAUCUGGGUGUGAAAUAUUGGAAAAAGCCAACCCCCAAACAAAACAUAUAUAUAUAUAUAUAUAUAAAUAUAUGAGAGAGAUUAGUUUUGCUGUUCCCCCCCUUUCUCUUUUUCUUAACAUUUUAUUUUUUUCCAAUUACACAUAAAAACAAUUUUUUACACUUGUUUUUUAGAAUUCUGAGAUCCAAAUUCCCUCCUCUCCCUACUCUUUUAGAAGGCAAUCAAAUUGCUAUAGGUUACACACAUGCAGUUAUGCAAAACAUAUUUCCAUAUUAGUCAUAGUGUGAAAGAAAAUACAGACAAAAAAAAACCCCUAAAAAAAGUUUUAAAAAGUAUGCCUCAGUCUUCACUCGGAUUCCAUCAGUUCUUUCUCUGGAAGUGGAUAGCAUUUUUCAUCAUGAGUCUUUUAGAUUUGUAUUGAAUCAUCCUAUUGCUGAGAAAAACUAAGUGGUUCACACUUGAUCAUUCUUACCAUAUUGUUGGUACUGUGUAGAAUGUCCUGGUUUUGCUCAUUGUAUCAGUUCAUGUAAAUCUGAGAUUUUUCUUAAAUUAUCCUGCUCAUCAUUUUUUAUAGCACAAUAGUAUUCCAUCACGGCCAUAUGCCACGGCUUGUUAAGCCAUUCCCCAGUUGAUGGGGAUCUUCUCAAUUCUUCCUCCUUUUCUUAAAAAAAAAAAACAAAAAACUUUGUUAUAUGAACUGGUUGUCUGAGUAUAAGGAGUAGGGAAUGAUACUGGGACAAAAUUUUAGCAAUGUAAAAAUACAAGAUGAUAAUGAAAUCUUAUUUAAAAAAUAAAUGUCUUAGAAAUUAAUAAAUGAUACUUCGGAUCUCUGUGACCUUGGACAAAUCACUUCAACUCAGGACCUCAGUUUCCUCAUCUAUAAAAUGAAACGGUUGGACUUGUUGGUCUCUGAGGCACCUUUCCACUCUGAAUCCAGGUCUUAAAAAUCAAUAGAUAUGUAAUUGGAAGUUUAUGAGGUUUUGAGAGGGGCUUCCACCCCUUCUCUGACCACAAGUAGAGAAGAAUCCUUUAUGAGCCUUGGCUCAUUUGAUUUUAUGGUCCUCACUAUAGAUUUCCUGGUUUGGGAAGCCAGGGCUGCCAGGUGAGGGAAUCCCAGAAGGGAAGUUUUUGCUUGAGGAGGGAAAAGAGUAACAAUGGGAAUGUAAUUGGUGUCUACAGCUUGCCCUUUUCUUGAUUUCUGUGCCCAGGAUAAUGAUGGUCUUCGGAGAAAAAUUGCAAAGUUACUUAUGUGGUCCUGAUGCAUACAGGUGGCUGAUUGCUUCCUUCCACCACCACCACCCCCCCUCAGUUUACCUGAACUGGGAAUCAUGGGGGGAGCAUGUGCUAGUGAUAGGUAGAAAGUCUCACAGUAGAAUGAGGCAUGAACUCUACCAUGGCAUGAAGUAUUCACUCUUUCUGCUGUCUUCUAGAUUUAUGGAUUGCGAUUCUGAGUGCUGCUGUGGGAAGACUUUGCUGUUCAUUAUACAGGGGCAGCUAGCUAACACAAUGGAUAGAUCAUUGGGCCUGAGGUAAGGAAGACUCAUCUUCAUGGGUUCAAAUCUAGCCUCAGACACUUAUUACAUGGGUGGCAUAGGGCAAGUCACUUAAUCCUGUCUGCCUCAGUUCCUCAUCUGUAAAAAUGAGCUGGAGAAGGAAAGAGCAAAACACUCCAAUGCCAUUGCCAAGAAAACCCCAAAUGGGAUUAUGAAGAGUAGAACACAACUGAACAACAAUAAGCAACUAUGAAUUCUGUGUUUGUCCCUUCCCACUGAUACUUGUAUUUCUGGUAGAGUGCACUCUGGGUUUAUGGGGGAAAUGUUUUACUGAUGCUUUUUAUUUUUAAGUAUACCAUUUCAAUGAAUUCCUUUGUUUUGAAAAAAACAAUAAACCAAAGAAAAAGACCAGAGGUCAUUUGAACAGAAGACCCAAGGUCUAGCUCUGGCAAUCUAUGCUUCUAUGAGACUAGCAAGACAAGUCAUAGGUCUUUAGGCUAGAAAGAGACCCUAGAUAUCAUCUUGCCUAAACCUUUCAUUUUGAGCAGAGAAAACUGAGGAAUAAAAAAGUCAAGUGGCUUGCUGAUUAUUAUAGCAUUAAUGAAUGUCAAAGCCAGAAUUCAAAUGCUGCUUUUUUAAAUUAUACAGUCAAGGGGGCAGCUGGGUAGCUCAGUGGAUUGAGAGCCAGUGGAUUGAGAUGGGAGGUCCUAGGUUCAAAUCUGGCCUCAGUUACUUCCCAGCUGUAUGACCCUGGACAAGUCACAUUGCCUAUCCCUUAAAACUCUUCUGCUUUGGAACCAAUAUACAGUAUUGAUUCUAAAAUGGAAGGUAAGGCUUAAAAAAAAAAUUAUACAGUCAACAUUCUUUCUGGUCCAUCAUGGUGCUAAUGAAAUUACUGGAUUCUCCCCCCCCCCCAAUAGUUCUAUUUGGUUGGUGGCAUUUGUUUUUCUGUAUAAAUUUUGUUAUUAUUUUUAUCUAAUUCUAUUAAGUAGUCCAUUGAUGUUUUGAUGAACAUUUAAUUGAAUUUAUAAAUUAAAAGAAUUUUAAUUAUUGACAUUUUGACUCUAUUGGCUCAACCAAAUCAUGUGUGAGAGAUAGCCAUCUGAUUGUUUAGUUAUUUUAUUGUUGUCAACAUUAUCUUAAAUUUGUUUUCAUAUAGGUCUGGUAAAUGUUUUAGAAGGCAAAUUCCUAAAUAUUUAGUAUAUUUUGUCAUUAUUAGAAAUGAUCUUUCUUUUUCUGCCAUUUUUUCCCUUCACAGCUAGGGCCCAGUUUGCCUUUUCAGGCUUAUUUCACAAUAUUUUCUUUUACACAUUCCAUAUUCAAAGCUAGUCAAACUAACCUACUUGCUGUUCCCCAUACAUGUCUAUCAUCCCAUGCCUGCCUUUGCACAGAUUGACCCACAUACCUGCAGUGCUCUCUUUUCUUAGACUAUUCCCUGGGCCUGGAAUGCUCUCCUUUCUGACUUAAAAUCCCUAGUUCCUUUGACUCCAGGGCCAGCCAUCUCCUGUAAAUGAUCCCCAUCUCUAGUUGCUAGCCCUCUUCUUACCUUCCUAAAAUUACUUCAUUUUUACUUUGUAUCUGCCUUAAAAAUAGGCAUAUAAAAACAGACCUUAUAAAACUCUUUCUACCUGUACCUGUAUGCUAACUUCCCCAGUAAAAUGCCCUCCAGGAGGGCAGGAAUUGUUUUGUUUUUUACUUUCUGUUUCUAACACCUAGCACUGUAAAUGUUGAUUAAAAUUUAUAUGACACCUUGCUAAAUAUUAACUUACCUUAUUGUUAAGUUAUUUGGAUUUUCUGACUAUACAAUUACCUUAUUUGCAAUUAGGAAUUAUUUUAACCUUUUUAUUGUCAAUAUUUAUUACAUUACAAAAGUUUCCUUUUCAUUCUUUAUUGCUUAACAUUUUGUUGUAGCAAAGACCUGGAAGCAAAGUAGAAGUAUAACAACUGUGAAAUAGCUAAGCAAGUAAUGCUGUAUGAAUGUAAUGGAAUAUUACUGUAUUGUUAAAAAAAAGAUGAAUAUAGAGAAAUCCAGAAUUCAGAGUAAUGUGAGAAGAUGUAUAUGAAUUGAUGCAAAGUGAAGUAAUCAGAACCAGGAAACUAUGAAAUUACUACCAUAAUACAAAAAGAACAAAAAACUGAAAAUGAACCUUGUGUAAUAAUGAUCAAGCUUGGUUUUGAAGAAGAAUUGAGAAAAUACAGGCUUCUUUCAUUGCAAAAGUGGGGACUAUGCAAAAAAAAUUUUUAAUUAAAAAAAGUAGGGUCUGUGGGUGUAGCAUAUUGUAUAUUCUAUCAUACAAAGUUAAUGUGUUGUUUAAUUUUGCUGAAUUACCUUUUCCCUUUCUUUUUAAAUUUCUGUUAUAAGAGGGAUGUAUUCAGAAAUGAAUGUGAUAUAAAAACAAGAGAUAUCAAUAAAAAUAAAGAAAUAAAAUGAAAAUAAAAAAUAAAAUAAAAAA